rnacentral:sRNA from 1 species
AAAGAUGGCGACGGCUCCGCGACGUUGAGGCCGCGUUGGGCGGUUCAGACUCAGGGUGAUGGCAGGAGAGCUGGCUGACAAAAAGGACCGUGAUGCAUCACCUUCCAAGGAGGAAAGGAAGCGAUCGCGGACUCCUGACAGAGAGCGGGAUAGAGACCGGGACCGGAAGUCUUCCCCAUCUAAAGAUAGAAAGCGGCAUCGUUCAAGGGAUAGACGUCGAGGAGGCAGCCGUUCUCGCUCUCGUUCCCGUUCCAAAUCUGCAGAAAGAGAACGACGGCACAAAGAACGAGAACGAGAUAAGGAGCGGGAUCGGAAUAAGAAGGACCGAGAUCGAGACAAGGAUGGGCACAGACGGGACAAGGACCGUAAACGAUCCAGCUUAUCUCCUGGUCGAGGAAAAGACUUUAAAUCUCGGAAGGACAGAGACUCUAAGAAGGAUGAAGAGGAUGAACAUGGUGAUAAGAAGCCUAAGGCCCAGCCAUUAUCCCUGGAGGAGCUUCUGGCCAAGAAAAAGGCUGAGGAAGAAGCUGAGGCUAAGCCCAAGUUCCUCUCUAAAGCAGAACGAGAGGCUGACGCUCUAAAGCGACGGCAGCAGGAGGUGGAAGAGCGGCAGAGGAUGCUUGAAGAAGAGAGGAAGAAAAGGAAACAGUUCCAAGACUUGGGCAGGAAGAUGUUGGGAGCGUUACCUGGGUGGCAUCAAAAAGCGGCGCCGAACGAGACAUCUCAAUGACCGAAAAUUUGUUUUUGAGUGGGAUGCAUCUGAGGACACAUCCAUUGAC